UACAGGGGGUGCAAACGUUGUCCGGAAUCAUUGGGCGUAAAGCGCACGUAGGCGGCCCUGUAAGUCCGCUGUAAAAGUCAAAGGCUCAACCUUUGAAAGCCGGUGGAUACUGCAGGGCUAGAGUCCGGAAGAGGCGAGUGGAAUUCCUGGUGUAGCGGUGGAAUGCGCAGAUAUCAGGAGGAACACCAAUAGCGAAGGCAGCUCGCUGGGACGGUACUGACGCUAAGGUGCGAAAGCGUGGGGAGCGAACAGG
rnacentral:rRNA from 1 species